AGGCUCGUGGUGUUAUUGGUUGGCAUUCUCGCCUGAUAAGCGAGCGGUUUGUGAGUUCAAGUCUCACCGAGCCUACCA
rnacentral:tRNA from 1 species